rnacentral:rRNA from 1 species
CCUACGUGUGGCAGCAGUGAGGAAUAUUGGUCAAUGGGCGCGAGCCUGAACCAGCCAAGUAGCGUGAAGGAUGACUGCCCUACGGGUUGUAAACUUCUUUUAUAAAGGAAUACAGUGAGGCACGUGUGCCUUUUUGUAUGUACUUUAUGAAUAAGGAUCGGCUACCUCCGUGCCAGCAGCCGCGGUAAUACGGAGGAUCCGAGCGUUAUCCUGAUUUGUUGGGUUUAAAGGGAGCGUAGAUGGGUUGUUAAGUCAGUUGUGAAAGUUUGCGGCUCAACCGUAAAAUUGCAAUUGAUACUGGCAGCCGUGAGGACAGUUGAGGUAGGCGGAAUUCGUGGUGUAGCGGUGAAAUGCUGAG